rnacentral:rRNA from 1 species
CGUCUGAGAAACAAACAAAAACAGCCAAAACUUUCAACAACGGAUCUCUUGGCUCUGGCAUCGAUAAAGAACGCAGCGAAAUGCGAUCCGUAAUGCGAAUUGCAGAAUUCAGCGAGUCAUCGAAUCUUUGAACGCACAUUGCGCCCGCCAGCAUUCUGGCGGGCAUGCCUGUCCGAGCGUCAUUUCCCCCCUCAGCGCAA